rnacentral:rRNA from 1 species
GCAAGUCGAGCGGACAGAUGGGAGCUUGCUCCCUGAUGUUAGCGGCGGACGGGUGAGUAACACGUGGGUAACCUGCCUGUAAGACUGGGAUAACUCCGGGAAACCGGGGCUAAUACCGGAUGGUUGUUUGAACCGCAUGGUUCAGACAUAAAAGGUGGCUUCGGCUACCACUUACAGAUGGACCCGCGGCGCAUUAGCUAGUUGGUGAGGUAACGGCUCACCAAGGCGACGAUGCGUAGCCGACCUGAGAGGGUGAUCGGCCACACUGGGACUGAGACACGGCCCAGACUCCUACGGGAGGCAGCAGUAGGGAAUCUUCCGCAAUGGACGAAAGUCUGACGGAGCAACGCCGCGUGAGUGAUGAAGGUUUUCGGAUCGUAAAGCUCUGUUGUUAGGGAAGAACAAGUGCCGUUCAAAUAGGGCGGCACCUUGACGGUACCUAACCAGAAAGCCACGGCUAACUACGUGCCAGCAGCCGCGGUAAUACGUAGGUGGCAAGCGUUGU